rnacentral:rRNA from 1 species
UACAGAGGGUGCGAGCGUUGUCCGGAAUUACUGGGCGUAAAGGGCGCGCAGGCGGCUCGAUAAGUAGGGGGUGAAAUUCCGUGGCUCAACCACGGAACUGCCUUCUAGACUGUCAGGCUUGAGCACGGUAGAGGCAGAUGGAAUUCCCGGUGUAGCGGUGGAAUGCGUAGAGAUCGGGAAGAACACCAGUGGCGAAGGCGGUCUGCUGGGCCGUUGCUGACGCUGAUGCGCGACAGCGUGGGGAGCAAACAGG